AAAAAGGUAUAAAAAUUCACAAAAAAUCAAAAUAGCUAAAAUUUUCACAAAGAUACUGUUCCAUUGAAUUCUCUUUUGUGAUUUUAUGAAGUUUUUCAAUUCUGAAACAUUUUCUGAUUCAUCUGGGUAAAAUGGGUUGAAUUUUGAGUGGCUAAAGUUGGGUCUUGGAUUUGGUAUAUAAAAAUACUGUUGCAUUGUUGGGUUCCCCAUUGUUCUGCUGUUGAUUCUCAAGCUGGUUCUGCUGCUGUUUCUUCUAUAUUUGAGCUUGCUAAUGCUGUUGUUUCUGAUCACUCCUAGCUCACUUCUCUUAAUUUUUUUACUCUUACUAUCAGGUACAUUUUCUGAAUUCUGUCUAAUAUAGAGUCAAAUUUGAAGAUGGAAACAAAAACAGAGUUGAAAUAAUGGCAGUAGCUCAAUUUAUGCCGUAGUUGUAUUUUUCUCAUGAUGUUUGUGUUUUUUUAGUCACUUGAUUCAUAAUGUAGUCUAGCUAGUGCUUGUUUGAAUUGUUGAAGUCUCAUGUUAUAUUUAAAAUAUGGACUGUGGGAAUGUUGUGUUAAGGUCUUCGGUUAAGUUGAAAUGCCAUAAGGCUGCAUCAGUCCUAGGUGAAAUGGGUAAUCAUGCUUGGUAUUUGUUUCAUGUCUGAAUUGGGUUAAAGAUGCUAAGGGCAAUAAUGAUAUUGUUUGAUGUAUUGUCGAAGGGCAUAUGAAUGGUUUUAACUUAGAAAUGUUGUAGAAAAACAAAACGCUUGUUCAAUUGAUUUAAAUUUGAAUAUUAAAAAUGAGCACGAUUAUUUAGUUUCAUGAGUUCUAUUAGUUGCAUAUUUAUAGCAUCUCAAUAAUUAGCCUACGAAUGUGUUUAAAUUUGCAAAUGGUAUGAAAUAAUUGUCAGUCUGAUUCCAGUUAGUGCUUCAAUAUCUAGUGAUUGUUAGUUUAAUUUUGUGGUUGUUCAAUAUCAAGUUUAUGGAUUUGUGGUUUUCAAAUCCUCUUGUCACUACAUUUUUAAAGUUUGAUCAUUUUCUGCUGUUGUCCG
rnacentral:lncRNA from 1 species